UAUAAGGGAUUUUGAGUUUUUGCUUGUAAAGUUUGAUCACUCGUCUUAUUUAAAUUUUUUUGAAAUUAUUAUUUAUUUUAUUUGUGACUUACUUUAUUAUUCAUAGUACUUUAAGCACAACUUUUCGUUUUUUAUAUUUACAAAAAAAAUUUGAAUAAAACGAGUGAUCAAACUUUACAAAUAAAAACUCAAAAUCCCUUAUA
rnacentral:pre_miRNA from 1 species